GUGAAGAACGUAGCGAAAUGCGAUAAGUAAUGUGAAUUGCAGAAUUCAGUGAAUCAUCGAAUCUUUGAACGCACAUUGCGCCCCCUGGUAUUCCGGGGGGCAUGCCUGUCCGAGCGUCAUUACAACCCUCAAGCUCAGCUUGGUGUUGGGCCCCGCCGCCCCGGCGGGCCCUAAAGUCAGUGGCGGUGCCGUCCGGCUCCGAGCGUAGUAAUUCUUCUCGCUCUGGAGGUCCGGUCGUGUGCUUGCCAGCAACCCCCAAUUUUUUUCAGGUUGACCUCGGAUCAGGUAGGGAUACCCGCUGAACUUAAGCAUAUCAAUAAGCGGAGGA
rnacentral:misc_RNA from 1 species